CGAGGGGGCACCGCCGGCGGCCGGGCGGCCUGGCGGGGCGGGGAGCGCGGACCCUCCCACACAGCCCAGCCUUUCUCUUCCCUCCUUCUUUGAAAUCCCAGCUGCCAUGAAAAUCCUGCUCUCCAACACCACUGAAACUUUCAGAAGCCUUUUACUUCUAACUGUAUAACCCUAGAAUUUGUGGAUGAAAAAGCCCUCUAUAAAUGUUCAGCUUCUUGGCUUCCAAAUGUAAGGAAAAAGCACUGCAGACACCUGACUGAAGAAUCUGCUGAAACCCUCUGAGCAUGGAAUGACCACUCAUUCAUGGCACUAGCAAUAUAAAAAAAAAUUUUUAAAAAGACACUGAGAAGAAAUUAAAGCAUUUAAAGGCUCAAACUCUGGAAAUAGCAGAAACUACUGGAAAAGAAGGCAAGAACACUUCAGUGUACAUCUGGAAACAGUGCCAGGGGUCUGAACCAUGAAGAAACUGCAUGUUGCUGCCUUGGAUGACUGUUUUCUGUAGAAUAAAAACACUUGCAGCAAAAGAUGAUGUAUGCAGAAGAAAUAAUAAACAUAAGAACAAGUGGGAUAUAUUACAUUAGGCAUAUAUGCACAGCUCCUAGCAUUUCUAGGAACUGUGCUGUAACUCUGAGAUAAAAACAACAGGUUGUAGAAAUAUAAAGGGGUAA